rnacentral:rRNA from 1 species
AGUGAACGCUGGCGGUAGGCCUAACACAUGCAAGUCGAACGGCAGCACAGUAAGAGCUUGCUCUUACGGGUGGCGAGUGGCGGACGGGUGAGGAAUACAUCGGAAUCUACUUUUUCGUGGGGGAUAACGUAGGGAAACUUACGCUAAUACCGCAUACGACCUACGGGUGAAAGCAGGGGAUCUUCGGACCUUGCGCGAUUGAAUGAGCCGAUGUCGGAUUAGCUAGUUGGCGGGGUAAAGGCCCACCAAGGCGACGAUCCGUAGCUGGUCUGAGAGGAUGAUCAGCCACACUGGAACUGAGACACGGUCCAGACUCCUACGGGAGGCAGCAGUGGGGAAUAUUAGACAAUGGGCGCAAGCCUGAUCCAGCCAUACCGCGUGGGUGAAGAAGGCCUUCGGGUUGUAAAGCCCUUUUGUUGGGAAAGAAAAGCAGCGGGUUAAUACCCCGCUGUUCUGACGGUACCCAAAGAAUAAGCACCGGCUAACUUCGUG